GCCAGGUGAUGUAGCAAAAUGUUGAGCCUCGGCUGUGACGACUCCUAUCUAUCACCCAUAAACCUAAUGGCU